AUUGAACGCUAGCGGCAGGCCUAACACAUGCAAGUCGAGCGAGCGGCGGACGGGUGAGUAAUGUAUGGGGGCUGCCCGAUAGAGGGGGAUAACUACUGGAAACGGUGGCUAAUACCGCAUAUGGUCGGAUAACCCAUAUGGGAUUAGCUAGUAGGUAAGGUACUGGCUUACCUAGGCGACGAUCCCUAGCUGGUCUGAGAGGUUGAUCAGCCACACUGGGCCGGAGACCAGUCCCAGAAUCCACCGGAGGCAGCAGUGGGGAAGAUUGCACACUGGGCGCAAGCCUGAUGCAGCCAUGCCGCGUGUAGGAAGAAGGCUUUAGGGUGGGAAAGUACUUUCAGUCGGUAGGCGUUACCGAAAGAAGAAGCAACGGCUAACUCCGUGCCAGCAGCCGCGGUAUUUC
rnacentral:rRNA from 1 species